rnacentral:tRNA from 1 species
GGGGAUAUAGCUCAGUUGUUAGAGUGCUUGCCUCUUAUGCACAAGGUCCUGGGUUCAAUCCCCAGCACCACCA